UACGGAGGGUGCGAGCGUUGUCCGGAAUCAUUGGGCGUAAAGGGCGCGUAGGCGGCCAACUAAGUCAGACGUGAAAUCCCUCGGCUCAACCGGGGAACUGCGUCUGAUACUGGAUGGCUUGAAUUCGGGAGAGGGAUGCGGAAUUCCAGGUGUAGCGGUGAAAUGCGUAGAUAUCUGGAGGAACACCGGUGGCGAAGGCGGCAUCCUGGACCGAGAUUGACGCUGAUGCGCGAAAGCCAGGGGAGCAAACGGG
rnacentral:rRNA from 1 species